GAGUAGGUGGCGAAAUUUGGUAUACGCAUCAUAUUCAAAAUAUGAUAACAUAGUUAUGAGGGUUCGAGUCCCUCCCUACUUAC
rnacentral:tRNA from 1 species